CAUAGGUUGAGGAGGCGGUGCGUGGUGUUGGAGGAGGAGGAUGAGGUAGCCAACACUGUUUAUAUAUAUAUAUUUUAAUUGGGGUAGCCCCCAAAAUUUUGGGAUAUAUAAAAAAAGACAACUCUGUUCCGCAGAAUAGCUGUUGACAUUAUAGUUGCGCAGGAACUUUGUUGACUCUAGAGAACCUCGGACAAAUCGCACAUCGCUGUGGCAGCGACUUUGCAUGCGGAUGUCAUCCAUAUCAACUUUCAAUGCCAGUUUAUGCGCCUACCAUGGUGACCACGAGUAACGGGGAAUCAGGGUUCCUUUCCGUACAGGAACCCUGCGAAACGGCUACCACAUGCAAGGAAGGCAG